AGACAGUACUUAGAAGUGACCAUGUAUGAGA
rnacentral:piRNA from 1 species